UGUGAUAUAAUGUUACUCAAAGUUACUACUCGCAUUCCCAUGUUCUCUAAUCAAUACGAUGUUCUUCAUGGUGUUAAAUUAUGUACAACUUAAGUUAUUUUGUGGCCUUAUUGUGUGGAAUUGUGCUCAUGCAUUUUACCUGAUGGUUUUUGUUGUUUUCCGGCUACUCUAUUUUUGAAGCUGUUGCUCAAUACAUUGUUGAUGUGUGUGUUCACGUACUGCCCUAUAAUUGGACUAUGGAUCACCACGAAGAUGAAUAUCGUGUUGCAGGUGAACAGCUUGACAAGCAAAGCGAUGAGGAAGCUGCUGCUCGUUUUGAGGAAACUAAGAAAUCAACUGAGGCAAAAAUGACUCUUCACCAAAGCAACUUGAAUCCUGAAAGGCAAGAUGCUGUUUAUGUGAUGUUCUGAGGCAACUACGCAAAUUACCAUGGAGUGAUUCUGAGUUGUACCUUUUGAAGUGCUUUUACAAGGUUCAUAAAGGAAAGUAUGGUUAGAUUCAUCUUAUUGCUUCUCUCAUGGCUGGUUUGAGUUGCUAUCCUGAUGAAUUACUGUAGCUGUUGUUGAUGAGGUUUGCUUUUGUUAUUAUGCGAAUUAUUUUUUUUCCGUAUUCCCUGAUAAAGAAUGAUAUUGGUUUUGACAGAAGAAAAUAUUGUUUCUAAACUUACAUUUCAGUGUUAAGUUGCUCCUGUAGUGUGUUUAUGUUGGUUUGUAAUAUUGUUUGCUUUAGAAUUUGUAAGUUGAGUAUGUGGAAGGUGUAUAUUGAAGAUGCUGGUCUAGGGAAUUUAAGUCAGCUAGAGCACAUGAUUUUUCUGUCAAAACUUUUUGCAAAUACAGUUUGUAUAUUCUAGAUCAUUGCUUAGUGGUCUCCAAAAUCAGCUUUAAGCUUCUGCAUUGAAGCCUUAAAUAAUUAAGCAUGACUAUGUGCAUGGUUUUGUCUUUGAAGUUUCUGUUAAAUUAAUAACAUUUGGAUUGUUUAUCUUUAUGUUUUGGAGGAGAUUAGGCUUGGGUUAGAAUCGAAUGACUAUGGAAUGCAGCAGCGGCGCAUUGCUCAUAUGAGAUAUUUAGGGGAGUUAUACAACCAUGAACAUGUGGACUCAUCUGUUGUUUUUGAUACGCUUUAUUUGAUUCUUGUCUUUGGGCAUGGCACACCAGAGGCUAGGUUAAUAUAUAUUCUUGUUUUUUUUUUUUGGAAACAUAUGUGAUAUAAUGGCAAUGUCAUUGUUUUGAGAAAUUUGAUUUGGCCUCAAAAAUGGAGAAGCCUGCACAUAAUACCA